UGUGCGACUGAGCUUGACACCCCUGCUGUACAGUAAUACCAACUGUAGACCAGAAGUAAACACUUAAAGGAACAACUUUUUAAACAUGUCAGUCCCAAAACUGAAAUGUUUUUUUUUUAUUCCUGUUUUGUGAAUAGAAAUGUUUCUGCAUAAACAAUCUCAGUUACAGAUACUGGUUUUUGUUAAAUACUUACAGGUUUCCCUGGGAAUCCUGGAGGUCCUGGUUUCCCCUAAAAAGGAAAGAAAGGGAUAAGGGACGAGCAAAAUGUCUGAAAGUGAAGCCGAUUGGUCCCAUGAUGCCGGCCGGGAGUUUGGUUUGGAUUGGAGGGUGAAGGUGCAGGAAGGAGGUGCGAGCUGAAACUCUAGAUGCUCUCACAGGCUUGGGGAAUGCAUGAAUGAGCCCUCUGUGUCGCCAAACUUUGAAGGAGUCUGAAAAUAUCCAAAGCUAUGACAACCUGGAGCUUUUUAAAAAAAA